rnacentral:rRNA from 1 species
AGAGUUUGAUCAUGGCUCAGGACGAACGCUGGCGGUAUGCUUAACACAUGCAAGUCGAGCGAGAAUCGUUUUGCUGAAGGCUUCGGUCUGACGCAGAAUGAGGAAAGCGGCGAACGGGUGAGUAACGCGUGGGCAACCUGGCCUUAAGAAAAGGAUAGCCCCCGGAAACGGGGAGUAAUACUUNNUGAGAAUGAAAGAGGGCAUCCUACUUUCAUUCAAAGCGCAAGCGCUUAAGGAUGGGCCCGCGUAUCAUUAGCUAGUUGGUGAGAUAACAGCCCACCAAGGCAACGAUGAUUAGCCGGUCUGAGAGGGCGAACGGCCACAUUGGAACUGAGAGACGGUCCAAACUCCUACGGGAGGCAGCAGUGGGGAAUAUUGCGCAAUGGAGAAGAACUCUGACGCAGCAAUACCGCGUGAGCGAAGAAGGUCUUCGGAUCGUAAAGCUCUGUUAUCAGGGAAGAAGAAAAUGACGGUACCUGAUGAGCAAGUCCCGGCUAACUACGUGCCAGCAGCCGCGGUAAUACGUAGGGGACAAGCGUUGUCCGGAAUCACUGGGCGUAAAGGGCGCGCAGGCGGUGAUUUAAGCAGGAUGUGAAAGGCUACGGCUCAACCGUAGACAUGCACCCUGAACUGGGUCACUUGAGUAUUGGAGAGGCAGGCAGAAUUCCUGGUGUAGCGGUGAAAUGCGUAGAUAUCAGGAGGAAUACCCGGAGGCGAAGGCGGCCUGCUGGACAAAUACUGACGCUGANGCGCGAAAGCGUGGGGAGCAAACAGGAUUANAUACCCUGGUAGUCCACGCCGUAAACGAUGAAUGCUGGUUGGUGGNCUUUUA